rnacentral:rRNA from 1 species
AGGACGAACGCUGGCGGCGUGCUUAACACAUGCAAGUCGAGCGGUAAGGCCUUCCGGGGUACACGAGCGGCGAACGGGUGAGUAACACGUGGGUGAUCUGCCCUGCACUUCGGGAUAAGCCUGGGAAACUGGGUCUAAUACCGGAUAUGACCUCCUAUCGCAUGGGUGGGUGGUAGGAAAGAUUUAGUCGGUGCAGGAU